UGGGGAAUAUUGGACAAUGGGCGCAAGCCUGAUCCAGCCAUGCCGCGGGUGUGAAGAAGGCCUAUUGGUUGGAAAGCACUUUAAGCGAGGAGGAGGCUACUUGGAUUAAUACUCGAGGAGAGUGGACGAUACGCGCAGAAUAAGCACCGGCGAACUCUGAGCCAGCAGCCGCGGUAAUACAGAGGGUGCGAGCGUUAAUCGGACUUACUGGGCGUAAAGCGUGCGUAGGCGGCUUUGUAAGUCGGAUGUGAAAGCCCUGAGCAUAAGGUAGGAAAUGCAUUGGAUACUGGGAAGCUAGAGGAUGGGAGAGGAUGGGAGAAUUCCAGGUGUAGCGGUGAAAUGCGUAGAGAUCUGGAGGAAUACCGAUGGCGAAGGCAGCCAUCUGGCCUAAUACUGACGCUGAGGUACGAAAGCAUGGGGAGCAAACAGU
rnacentral:rRNA from 1 species